rnacentral:rRNA from 1 species
GAUGAACGCUGACAGAAUGCUUAACACAUGCAAGUCAACUGUGGCGGACGGGUGAGUAACUCGUAAAGAACUUGCCUCACGGAUAGGGACACCAUUUGGAAACGAAUGCUAAUACCUGAUACUGUGAGAGAGCUUUGCGUCCCAUUAGCUAGUUGGAGAGGUAACGGCUCACCAAGGUGAUGAUGGGUAGCCGGCCUGAGAGGGUGAUCGGCCACAAGGGGACGUAGACACGGACCUUACUCCUACGGGAGGCAGCAGUGGGGAAUAUUUGACAAUGGACCAAAGUCUGAUCCAGAAAUUCUGUGUGCACGAUGAAGUUUUCGGAAUGUAAAGUGCUUUCAGUUGGGAAGCGGUACCAACAGAAGAAGUGACGGCUAAAUACGUGCCAGCAGCCGCGGUAAUUC